CCGAGCCCGCUACUUCCACCGCCAGGCGUGUUGGGUCACAGUGACAAGGCCUCUGUCUGAACCGCGACUCUCGGAAAGAUAAUAUUACAGCCUCCCAGCUGAUCCAUCUCCCAGUGUCCAUUGGAGACAGAGGAGGUUAAAGCACCCUGAGCGCAUGGGACCAUAUUGCAGAGUCCUGAAGUAUUCAAAGCUGCUCUCGAGAUCAUCUCUAAAGCCACAGGGGGACCAAAGCAGAGCUCCAACAUUCGCCGUCUUUCUCCACAUGUCCGAACCAUCUGGCCUCCCGAACUGAAGCAUACGUCGGCCAAACACUGGGUUUCCCACUGUGCAUUCUACUGCAUGUGACUGUAAAUGUUAGGAGGUAAGCAUGGGACAGUGAGCGUAUGGUGGUGGUUUUAGUAGCAGGUCAAAGUCAGUUUUCACUUUCAGUGUUACGAUAAAUGUUGUUUUUUUGUCAGUAUUUACUGUUGGAAAUGUUGUCAAAGGGUGACCGUAUUGGAUCAGCACUGACAGUACAAUCAAACUGAAAUAUAUGGCAACAAACACAGUUGAGUGUAAAAACUAUCAUUAAUGUUACGCUACAUUCUGUAACGUAGAGUGAGCCGGUACGACCAGACCUGUUAAAUAGCUGCCUUGAUAUUCAUUUCUUACUUGGAAAGUUGAGCGAAAGCUUGAUGGGCAAACUGAUGAGCAGAAUACUUUUGAAUACAUACAAAAAGAGUGGUGAUUGAACAUGAAAAAUGAAUGUAGAAUUGAGACAAUUUGACGGGCUUUAUUUCAGUUUUAACAGCGCUAGCCUGCUACUAUGCUAACCUCACGUUGUUUCAGUUGAACUCUUUAAUUUACAUCUAUCUUUGUUAAAAUAGUUAAAAUAGUCAUUAGCUAUUAUGUGACAUUUGUAAGGGAAUACAUGAAUCAUUUGCAUAAUCAUAUUUGGACUUCCUAAACUGGAGCUAGCAACAUGUAGCCUCAUAAAAGAUAGCAUAAAAGAUUGCAUCUUCACGCUGUAUUUGUACAAUCUUGCGAUACAAUACAUAUCCCGAUAUAGGAGUGGCGAUACAAUACAUUGUGAUACAUCGCGAUACUGCAAGUUCAGCAAUAUAUUGUAAUAAGAGCCAUCAUUUUGAGGGGGGGAAAUCAGAUAAUGCUGUACAAUAUCAUGUGCCUGAAAACAAGUUUAUUGUUAUGAUGUCAGUCGAGUUCUGUUAAAUUCCACACUCCAACAGAGGAAUGAAUCAACAAAAUAACUCCACGGUACAUAGAGAAAAUAUAGCAGCGUACCCAAGCAUUUAAGCAUUAACUAUUGUUGUAGUCAACAUACAAUUCCGAGACAAUAUCACACAAUCAAUUUCAGCAAAAAUAUCAAUGUGAUAUUGCACAAUCAAGUAUCACAAUGUUUGAUCAUGUCAAUAUUUGCUUAAACCACCAAUUCAAUGUACGAUAAUAAAAUAGAAACAGAAAGUGUUGAUUCAGCGCCACACUUGAUAGCAUAUAUAAGGUACAUGGUAUUUACAAGAAGCAAACUAUCAGCAGUUUAGAGACACCCAGCAACACAGAUAAGGAUGGACGGAAUGCUCCCAACUUAGAACUGAAUCAGCCCGGAAUCGAACUCACAACCUCCUGCUAGUCCACUUCUGAGAAAUAAAAAGAAAUCUGUCAAAUCUGCUGAGAUCAACAAGCUGCUAUCCCACAGAUGGUCAGUUAUGCUAGCAACAAAAUAUCAGUUUUUGUAAUAUAAUGCAUGGCAGCAAUUGUCUGACUGUCAUGGCGGAUGUAAACACUGAAAGUUUAGACAACAACUCAGAGGCAACAAGAAAAAAAAUGUAAAUACAAGAAAGAAAGUAAGUAAUAAUUUACAGUAAUAAAAGAAAUGUAACUAAAUAAUGAUUUUAUCAACAUAUUUCAGCCCAGUUGGACCUGUAAUUUCUAUUCCUGAGAACCUUUUAAACCUCCUCAUGUCUGCCAACAUUUUCAAAGCAGCAUUUGCCUCUUUCAAACGGUGCAGUCCAGAGGAAUCGUCUCUCAUCUGACCACUUCCUCCUCUGAGGAGUCGAGGAAACAAAUAAUUUCCGCGGCUAUAUUCCGAGCGCGUCUACGAAGAGCAAGGCAUCCUGGGAGUGGGCCGCUCAGUACAGCAUCUUCUGCGAGCGCAAAUGGGCCGGCGCACCUAUCCAAUUAACACCCCGCCUGCCAAUCCCUGUCAGGUCACACGCCGACUCCCCUGGCCGCGCUCUACCUGUCUCCGCCGCCGCCAAUCUAGAAUUAACGCCACUUUUCACCUGCUCGGGCGGCGGCGGCGUAGAUUAGAGCGGUGCUGCGCGGAGAUAUGCCGGGCUCUCCAAAUGAGGGCGCCGGGGUUAAGAUUUCAAAUGCAGCGGGGCUAUUGUUUUGCCACUUCUUUAAUAUUAAUUAAACUCUGAGGUGAAAAUGUUCUUUAACAAACUCGCUCUUAAUUCCUACACAAGUGAUAAGAGAUUUUAUUUAAUGAACACCUCCAUCUUUCACCUUCUCACUCCAGCCUGGACCCCAAUAAGACCAAUCAUCUGCCCGGGCUAAGUAGGUCUUUUUUGCAGCAUAAAUUCAGACAAAUAUCUGGAAUAGAUGGAAUACUUUUCAAGAUUGAAAUAUUAUCAGUUGGGCUUCCGCCUUAAUCCUUAAUGGGAUCUGGAAGGUUUCUCGUACCAGGUCCCAAACAAAGACCUCCCCUUAGUAAGUGCAUGGCAAUGACAUUUGCCUCUUAUUGGAGAAGGUUUGGUCGAUAAAUCCCCCGUGAAAUUAUGUGUAAAUUGAAAAACCCCAUUUUUAAAAUCUCCAUAAAUAAUAGGAAUGUUUACGGUUAGGGUUAGCCAACUAUAUAUAUAGCAAUUUUUGUGUUUCGCUCAACAAUAAUUCAAUCAUGAAAAAAAAAAACCUCCACAAAAACCAUUAUGUAUUGUAGUAAAACAUCAUAAGUUUCACUCAUGUGUAUCACUCAUGGUGUUCGAUGGAUAAGUCAAUUUCACCCAGCAAUAUUGUCACCUAAUAUGAUGUAAUUUAAUGACCUAAUAAAUGUUAUGCCAUACAAUUGCAUUCAGGUUGUGUAAGAAAACAUUUUUUACAUAAUAAUGUUGCAUUAUACAUUUAUAUUUUUGAAUCGCUGCAGGGAUCAUUCUGUAUACACGAUGUAUAUACAUGUGUGUGGAUUCCUCACUCAAUGCUUCUUUAUUUAGUCUUUUUUUCACAUUUUUCCAAAUGUAUGACAUUGUUAAAUUAUUAAAAUAUAUUUGACAGUUUAUUACAAAAAGGUACACAACAAUCUAGUUUAUUUUUGGAUUGUUCACCAUUAGAUUUUUACAAAAUUCGAGACCAAUUUUGUUAAAAUUUCUGGUCACUUGGCCUCACUUUUUUGUCCCUUUUUCAUGCUCAACAAGUGUCAUACUAGAUGUAGAUUAAUAAAAUUCAAAUAUGUGUUGUCUAAUUUGACCUUUUUUAUAAUGUUAUAUAAUUUAAUGAGGAUGGAACUGAUGGAAGUAUUUCAAAGUUUGACCACUAUUAUUCAUUCUUUCACUCCUGUGUGUUCACACAGUCAGGAGCCUGUCCCAGCUACUCAGGGCGAGAGGUGGGGCUCUAUGCACAGUACUGAACAGUAGUUCCAAAUGAAGUACUUGCAAGUGUCUACAUAUGUCCUGCGGCCAUAUAAAGGGACUGGGAUGAAGAAUAUAAUCCAGGGGUUCAUGGUGGAACUCUUACAUGCAUUCAGUAUUCCUAAGAUGAUUCGGCUAACAGGAAUAUUUAGGGCUUAGUUCUGCCAACGUUGUCGUCAGAACUGCUCUGUGCAGCAGGAAUUUGAUCCCGUUUGACGUCUGAAGGUGAUCGGCGCUGAUAUCAUUUCCUCAGGUUGAUCGUAGGUACGUCUCUCCCGUCACGGGACGAUUGAAACCAUUUCAGACGGAUCACUUUCCACAAGGAUGGAACGUGAAAGGCUACACUCACUUUUAGGCGUCCCAGAGGAGCAGCGCUUGGAGAGGCCAGCCGGCACUUGAAGAGAACCUCCACACCGAGGUGAACAUCUAACCGCGCUGAUAUUGCCCCACACCAGUGUUCCACAGUAUUGUGCGGCAGCAAUGCAAGAGUCAAACCCGUGCAAAUUUGUCGGAAGAAGAGCACUGCAUGCGAUUUAGAAAUCCUUUACAGCGUCUUGUGUCACGCGACAAAGUUGUGGUCUGUUAGCACUUCACGGGUGUCUACAUGAUUAAGAUUAAAGCGGAGCACUUUGGUGAGAACGUCGAGUUGAUUUGAGCGAAGCUUCCCACCGAACAGUGGCCGACACAGGCCACAUGCUGCUCCUCCUGACACCGCGGCUGAAUUAAGACAUCAAGCACUGAAGCUCCCCUCACCCGGGAGGCUUCCCCCAGGCCCCAAGUGAAGAUCUGUUUUUCAGAUUAUAUAUCGGAUUAGAUGAUCUCACUCCUCAUUAAAGUUUUCAGUGCAGUGGUGAAGUAUGAGUCAAACCACCACCUUUGUCCCGCUUCAUAAUCACCCAAGAUCAUUUCAUUUAAUGAGGUUGUGGAGUCCAGCUCAGCUAUUUUGGGGCGAGAGACUGGAGACACCUCGGACAGGUCCCUGGUUUAUCACAGGCUACAAUAAGACCUACAAACAACCUCAUCAUCUGACAGUUUUCUAGUGGAAUUUCUGGUCUGUGGGAAGAAGUUGAGAUGCAGACAACAGAGACUAGUGACGUGAGAUUAUGAGAAAUACUCCAACUAAUAUCAAUGUCAAGACCUUCAAACCCGAGUUGAGACUAAGACCAAGGAGGGGGGCAAGUCCAACACCGGGACCAAACUGAAAACAGAACAAACUACCACUUUGUUCCAAUGUUUGCAUUUCAAUUAUUGAUUUAUUUAGAAAUAAUUAAAAAAAAAAACUACAGUUUGAUAUUGUUUGGCAGUAAGAAAUUGAAAUGUUAGUCGAUAUGACUAGUAAGACUAUAUCGGGUUUUGUCACGGCCAUGGUGUUGCUCCUCAGGCUUUCAAAGUCUUGGUCUUGGACUUCAUGUCUAUAUGCACUGUUUCCUGGUCUCCACUUGGUUUCAGGCUUUUAAUGUCUUGGUCUUGCCCUUCGUAUUUGUCUUGGUCUUGACUCUGUCUUGGGCCUUCAGAGCCUUGGUCUUGGACUCGGUGUCUGUAUGCACUGGCCUUGGUCUCGGCUCCAUCUCAGACCCUCACAGUCUUGGUCUUGGGUUAGGUCGACAACAACACUAUCUCCAACCGCUCAUGCUACCCAUGAUGCACUGCAACAGUGAAAUAAAGGUGAACGGAUCCAAUACAUCUUAAACUGUAUUUUUUGUUCUUUUGUUUUUUGAGGCUUAAACACUAUUUUGGACUUGUUUAUGCUUAUUGCUAUUUAAAUUUUCUUGUAUUUCUAUUUCUGCUUUUAUGUUUGUUUGAGUUGCCCAUUUGGAAUUGUAGCGCACUUCUUUCAGCAGUUCCCACUGGGGGUUUGUCACAGCAAGUGGGACCCCUCCUCCAUGUCCCAUUGCCAUUCUCUUCUUCCUGAACCUGGUAUCUCCAACAUGUGAAAAGUACUGACACUUGCUGUGUAACUGAAGCUGUAGAAGCACAUAUAUGGACAACAGAGAAACGUGAGCAAGUGUCUUUUGAAACCACACGAAACGAGUCAAAUUCACUCUCGCGGUGAGGACUCUGCAUGUAAUUUAAUCCUCGGUAAAUUCCCUAAAACUGUCACUUGUUUUAAUUAGCACUCAACCACUGUGGGGGAUGAAAUAACAAAAAGAAAAUAUUGCGUCAAAGUCAGUGAAGUGGUUUUAUUUCCUUCGCUGCAACUACAAAGAAGUGAAAAUGAAUUAUGUCCUACUUCACUCUGCUUUGAUAGUGGACCGCUGCGUGGAAAGACAAAAAAGGAUUUGCAGGAGAAUAAUACCGGAGCAUGAAAAGUUAUUAACCCGUUGCGGUCCGCACCCGACAGCAUUAAUAAAAGACGAGGUAUAUUUUUCUUUUGUCCAGGUUAAGAGAGUGUUUGGUUUCCUUUUUUACAGUUUGCGGUAGCUUAUUUUUCUGGCAAAGGGUCCGCGAGGCCUACUGGGACCACUUAAAAGUUUAUGCAGAGCACCGGCCAACUUGGACAAAAAAAGCCUUGAAGUAUACACACACUGGCCCCUUUCUCCGAGCCUCUCAGCUCAGGCUAGGGGGAGUGUUGUUGGUUUACGAGAGGGAAAAUAGCCUGAGCCUCCUGCAAAAGUGAAAUGGGAUUAGGGCCUUUGUUCGGGCCACAAUGGUGAGGGGAAUUAGCAAUAGUUGUAGGCACUUAGAAGAGCUCUCACACAGAAGCUUAUCCCAGAUUUUGCACAAUAAUCAUUUGAAUAUCAACAGUGUUUUGCAACUACAGCGCUAAUGUAUAAACCUCCCUCUUUUAGAUAUCGAAAUCCCCAAAGAGUCCCCGAAGACAAUUAUUAGCAACAGCGACAGCAUAUAAGUAGUAGUGCGUACUACUUAUUUUUCAACAUUUGGAAGGAAAAUACAGCAAAAAAUGACAUUUAUUUCGUCUUAAAUUUUCAAUUUUUAAAACUGUAUUUAAAGCUCUACAAAAGUCUCUUGUGAAAGAAGGUUAAAUAUAAACGGAAAAGCUUUAAAUCUAAUUCGCGUCUCCUUCUUUAAGCUUCAGUUCAGGAACUCCAGUCGGAAUUUAGUUCCUUGUGCGCGAAAUUAUGACGUUUCACUCAGUGGACCGGAAAAGUGGGCGGAACAUUCGGGACCAUUUCGAAUUGAUUGAAGUUGUACUUGGAGAUGCAGACGUAUGGAUGUGAGUAUUUGGUGUUGCACAAGUCAGUGUUAAGUUAAGUUUGGACAUCUCUCUCACAAAGUGAGAUUUGUCUUUAUCCUCAACAGGAUGGUCAAGGAAUCCAAAGGGAAAGGUGUAUUUUUUUCAUCCUUGAGCCCUUUAAAUGUAAUGUAUAACUAUUACAAGGGUCAUUUAUUUGUACUUUAAAUUCAACAUUAAGCAUUUACUCAUACAUUUUUUUUAUUUUUUUUUAUUUACUUAUUAUGACUAAUUUGUAUUUUAUUAUCGGAAAUAAUGUGCCAUAUGAGAAGAGGUUUUUGUAUCACCAUCUUUAAUGCCGUAAAUAUUGCAGUAUUAAUUGCUCAACCAUUUGAGCAAUGGUUAAUAUAUCUAGCCAUUUUUUGCAUGAGUCAUUCAGUUUAUUAAAUUGUGCUCAGUGAUAUGGAGUCCCCCAAGGUUCUAGUCUUGUAACUCUUAAACUCCAUGAAUUUAGCGGUAUUCAUGCUUAUAAAUACAUUUUUUUCAGGGCAGGCUAGCAUUGUUUUUCAGAGGUGAAAUUGAAUGGUCUGCUCAAAAUUGUAUUUUUAAAUGAUAAAAAAACCAAGGCGUAGUUGGUAGUUCGACACGUACAUCUCAUCUCAGGCUCUGUCUGUGAGCCUCCAAAAUUAAGUAUUUUGAUCACAAAAGUUCCUGUUUCCACAUAUUAGAAACUCCUUUCCGUUGGACUGGUUAAUGUAGCUACAUUGACUUCUAAAAAGUUGUGAGCCAAGCUUCCCGAGAUACUAGAUUUUACAUAAAACAUAGGUAUGAUGGAAAAAAAAGCCUUUCAUCUAAUAAAACUAAAAUGAAAUUGAGGAAACUAGGUGUUCUCCAAGGGUCUGUUCUUGGAUAUUAGAUAUAUAUAUGUGUUGCAUACCAAAACCAUGCUCAUGUUCUAAAGAAUCUGUCCAGUUUUUGUCGUACUA